UUUGAAUUUACUAAGUGCAUCUUUCUUGGAAUUUGUCUGAUUUUAAACUUUCCACUGUGACACAGAAGCAACAUUAUGAGUCAAUUCCUUCCAGAAUAAUUGGCUGACUGCGAUCGCUGGCGUUUGUGCUAUUCUGGUACUUUGUGAAUUUCGAGAAGUUCUUCUGUUCAGUCACCCAUCUCUACUGGAAGGUCAAAGCAUUGUCUGCCUCACAGCAGCCAUCAUAGACCCAACAGCGCUCAGGCAGGCUUUUAAGAUGAGGGGAGGUCUCUCUAAUCACCAUGCCACCCUGACACCCACAUGAACCUCCAAACUCUAUUCCAUCUAUUUUAUGAAGUGCACCGGUGUGAACAGAUGAAUGUGUCACCUUUAAGCAUCUGGAACCAGGCUGCUGCAGCAGCUCCACAAUUCUCUUCCUGAUAUCUUGGAUGAUUUCUUUCGACUUUCCCAGGUGAGAUCUUAAAAUACAUCCACACAUAACUCAAAGGGCCAGAGAAUCUAUCAGAAGUUGCCAAAGUCAUGAUAUAAUCGUCUGGUCUUUCCCUCAUUAUCUAGAGAGACCUUAAAUCUCUGAAAUAUUAGUUUUCUCAUUAUUGUGGCUUUUAUCAUAUAGAAGUAAUCUUGGUUA